rnacentral:lncRNA from 1 species
CAGAAGUGAAGAAUAUUUUAUUUACUCUUUCUAAGUAGCGUUUUAAAUUGAAAUAUUCAAAUAGACAAUCAAGAGACUCUUAAUGGGUUGCAUUUAUUGAAAGAGGUUUUGAUUUAAAUUCCUCAGCCUUGGAGUCCCAGGCAACAUUUCUUUUUCCCCGAGUGAAGUCCCUGCUGAAUUUCCCUGUUGCACUAACGUAUGAAAAUCUGAACGCACUGAAUAAACAUACACGAUGACACAGCGCUGAUAUUCGGUUACGUGCAACCCACCCAGUGCUCUUGCUGGGAGAUGUCUGGAAAAGCAGGAUGCAGCAACCGCACGUGCUCUGGGGAGCCUGUGAAGACAGAGGGCUCCAUGUGCACCGCCGGUCUCCCAGAGAUGGGCCCGAGUUGUGAGGGCCCCUCAGGUUGCCUGGGAGAAAAAAAAUACAUUUUGGCAGCUGGAAUAAUAUUGAGGCAACAGAUUUGAAACGCCGGGCCACACGGACUGCUGCUUGAGCUCUGCGUGCAGCGCUCUUUCACUGCAGUCAAUAAACAUUUCGUAAUAAUUUCUGGCACGGGGCAGGGAACCCGUAAGGAACCCAGGUUCCACCCUCGGCUCCCUGCUCUGCUUUCUGCGUGCUGUGAAGCAGCAGCUUAGGUAAAUGCAGCAGGGCUCCAGACUCUAGAGGAAACUCGGGGCUGGCCACGGUCGCUGCAGGGAGGGCAGCGCUUUGGCUGAAGCUCCCACAGGAUGCUGAUGGCCAGGAGCUGGAGGGAAGCCAAGUGGCCACAUGCCACCAGAGAAACCCCAACAGCAGGACCUGGGAAAACUCCUUCCGAAGGAGGGCAUUUGGAGGACACAGCUGGAUCCCAUUUCGCAGCCUCUAGCAGGACAGCAGGCUGGAGCCAGCCCCCCACAUCCUGCCCCUUGCGAUUAAAAUGGGGUGGACCUUACACCAGGAGACUAAUUCCUGAGCCUUGGAAACCACGGUGUUGGAAUAAAGCAGGAGGGACAGGCAGCCA